rnacentral:rRNA from 1 species
UGGGGAAUAUUGCACAAUGGGCGAAAGCCUGAUGCAGCGACGCCGCGUGAGGGAUGACGGCCUUCGGGUUGUAAACCUCUUUCAGUAGGGACGAAGCGCAAGUGACGGUACCUGCAGAAGAAGCACCGGCUAACUACGUGCCAGCAGCCGCGGUAAUACGUAGGGUGCGAGCGUUGUCCGGAGUUACUGGGCGUAAAGAGCUCGUAGGCGGUUUGUCACGUCGUCUGUGAAAUCCUAGGGCUUAACCCUGGACGUGCAGGCGAUACGGGCUGACUUGAGUACUACAGGGGAGACUGGAAUUUCUGGUGUAGCGGUGGAAUGCACAGAUAUCAGGAAGAACACCGAUGGCGAAGGCAGGUCUCUGGGUAGUAACUGACGCUGAGGAGCGAAAGCAUGGGUAGCGAACAGG